GAGACUCCCGUGAGGCUGGACGAGAUGGAAGGAACCAGUCUCUCUUGGGCAUUCUUUCCUAUGCAGCAACACUGAGGUCUGCAGUCGGCAGACUCUUACUCUGCGGGACCCUGGUGGCCUCAUAGAGAGCACAGACUACAGCUGUGGUGUGCAUCAGCGCUGUCCUCACAAGGGGAGGCCCCUGGAUGGCUGUCCCAGAUGCUGUGACUGUCAGCACAUCUGUUGUCUUGUUCUGCACUGCUAUGGAAAUCAUAGCACAGACCUCGCAGGAUACCCCGAUUCUGAGCUAAAGAACUAUGGCUCUGCAGACCACGCAUUCAUUAACUCUACAACACACCGCCCCAGGUGAUGAAGUAGGAGCCAAGGAACUUCUGCAUCUCCACUGUGACAUACAUGGACACCGGGAUGAUGUAAUUGAAGAGGACCAUGAAGGCCAGGAAGUCGGUGAAGGCCCUGAGAAACUGAGAGCAUUGACUGCAUAAGGAAGCGGCAGGUCACAUGGAGAGGACAGGAAACCUCAGACUGUCGGCUCCUGCCCCAGUCAGGCUUGUCCAUUCUAGUACCCAAGGAUGGCAGGCAGCUCCCACCCGCCUACACCAGGUGCCAGUGAUGGCCUCUGCCUGAAGCAAAUUUGCCUUUGUAGUUUCCUGGUGCCAUCCUUUUUUGUGUGACAAUGGCCUAAGGGCCACCUCCCUCACAGAAGGGAAGUGCUUCCAUACCAGAUUCCUCUGGCGCUCGGACUCAGUCUUCUGGUUGUACCAUGGCUCAUCUCGGAAGGGCUCACUCUGCCACACGUACUUCAGCACCGUGUUGAUCAGGGCCUUGCUCACCAGGAUGCAGAGGUACACGAUCAGGAAUGUAUUCAUUGACCUAGAGGGAAACAGCACAGUGCUCCUGGUCUUCCCUCACCAUGAAGGGACAGCACAGGGCACUCAGCAAUGCCCUGGUGGGCAUUGUCCAGCCUGAUCCAGGAAGAUGAAACUCUAGCUCGUUCACAGCCACCUUUGCCAAUGCUCAGGAUGCAGGACCAGAGCCACGGGAAGAGAGGGAAAGAUACAUGCUGCCACAUGGCUGAUGAACCUUUCCUGAGGUUCCUGAACCACGGGAACUCCAGCCAGAGUCAGCUUAGAGCUUGGUGAUUCUCACUCUAGGGUGAGCAAUAAGUGAGUGCCAGAGAAGUGCCUGAGGCUGGAACGUGGCUGCACUAACCAAGGGGAGGCAGAUUUGGGGCGAGGUCCAUGUAUCACACCCAGAUGUUUGCAAGCAGAACAUCCUAGCUGAUGAAAAGCUCAUCUCUAUUCUUACACUUAACACAGCCACAGACAGGCCCAGGGAUAGCAUCCCUAGCGUUCCUGCCAGUAUCCUACUCCUGGUAAUUAAAUAGCUCCUGCUUCUUCACUCUGUGACAUGGAGGCCAUCCACACCAAGCAAGGGGCAGAGAUGACAAAACCUCAGACUCUACUUUAUCCUAAGUCUAAGUUCGUCAUGGCAGUUGUCAGGGCUUUACUGUCUAAUGAAAAAUAUUCACUCUGCUCACAGUGACCUCAGUAAACCAUAUCAGGACACACUUGGUUCCUAUCAAGUCCCUGGGAUGGAAGGGGCUGAGUAUGACCCCCAUUUUGAAGUUUGCCUGAAUCAAUGGCUGGGGAUACGAGGCAUCUGCGAUUGAUCUAAAAUUAGAACUUGGGGGAAAGACUUACAGGUAGCAUGUUAACAGAGGCCAUUUAUCUCACUGGGAGGAAAGCAAGAAAAUCUCCCAAGUAAUGGGCUCUGUGGUUAGCAGCUCCAGUCGCUGCAGGAGUGGGCCCCUAGGAUACUGUGGGCCCCCUGAGGAUGCUGUGGGUUCCCCCAGGACACGUGGGCCCCCUGAGGAUGCUGUGGGUACCUCGAGGAUGCUGUGGGUCCCCCAGGAUACUGUGAAUCCCCCAAGGAUGCUCUGGGUCCCUGGAGGAUGCUGUGGGUCCCCUGAGGACACUGUGGGUCCCCCAAGGAUGCUCUGGGUCCCUGGAGGAUGCUGUGGGUCCCCUGAGGACACUGUGAGUCCCCCAAGGAUG